rnacentral:rRNA from 1 species
AACGUAGGUACCGAGCGUUAUCCGGAUUUACUGGGCGUAAAGCGCGUUCAGGCGGUUUGGCAAGUCGGGCAUGAAAUCCUUCGGCUCAACCGGGGGAGGUUGUCCGAUACUGCCGGACUAGAGGGCAGUAGAGGGUGGUGGAAUUCCGGGUGUAGUGGUGAAAUGCGUAGAGAUCCGGAGGAACACCAGUGGCGAAAGCGGCCACCUGGACUGUACCUGACGCUCAAACGCGAAAGCUAGGGGAGCGAACGGG